CAAAAAUCUAACAAGAGGGGAUACUCAUUUUACACCAUCAGAUUUUGAGAGAGGGGUGUAACCCUAAUUUUGUUCUUCUCUCGUUCUCUCUUUUACAGACACCAGCCGCCCCCUCCCAAGCUCUCAUCUCUCUCAUUUCUCCAAUAAUGGUUGCCGCCCAGCCCCUCUAUAUUCCCUCUCUCUAAAAGUUUGAUGCCGCCGCCGCUUUCCGGCGAGCUUGGCUGGCCGGCAAACAACUAGUGCAAACCCCAUCGCCGACCCUACUAUUCAUGUCACCUCCUCUCUCCGUCUCUGUCUCUUCAUGCGUAUAACACACAGAUCUAGAGAAAAUAUACUCGUCGGAGGAAUGAAACUCCACUGAAAGUGGCGGAUCUGGUGUUUGGCCGGAGUCUUAGCCGGAAAAUUGGGUCUGGCAGCCUAUACACGUCCCGGUAGUUGCUCACUGCCUCUUUGACGAAGAUUCAUCUCAUCCGUUGCGUCAACACUAGUGACUUAGCUAUUGUUAUUCAUCGUCGAGUACUUUUGACAUUCUACGGGUGGUUCAGGUACUAUCAUACGGAGUUACUCUCGGAAGAUGACACUCGAAGAUGAAAAGACAAAUCCCAUCAAAGUUUCCCGCUUCGUACUUCUCGUUCUCGGAUGUAUUAAAAAAUACAAGUAUUGUAAUGACCCGACCGAUCGUUCUGAGAAUUAAUGUCCCGAUCGGCGGCAUAAGGUCCUGAGCAGCUUCGUAUUAUGUAUAUUGUCUUGCGUGCGUGGUUGAAUUCAGUUACAGGAUGAUUCAGAGUGAA